rnacentral:lncRNA from 1 species
CUUGCUGUAGCACCAAUUCUGUGCAUCACUGACAACUAUUUUCUUUGAUUAUCUUUUUAUUGCUUGCUCUCUGGGGACUACUUUCUACAGGAGAUCCCUGACGACAUGGGAUCAAAAGGCCUGAAGCACGUAACUUCUAAUGCCAGCGAUAGCGAAAGUAGUUACCGUGGUCAAGAAGAAUAUGUUUUAUCGUAUGAGCCGGUGAAUCAGCAAGAAGUUAAUUAUACCCGACCAGUCAUCAUAUUAGGACCUAUGAAAGACAGAGUAAAUGAUGACUUAAUCUCAGAAUUUCCUGACAAAUUUGGAUCCUGU